rnacentral:rRNA from 1 species
UACAGAGGCCUCGAGCGUUAGGCGGAAUCACUGGGCUUAAGGCGUGUGUAGGCGGACUUCUAAGUACCUUGUGAAAUCCCACGGCUCACCCGUGGAACUGCUCGGUAUACUGGUCGUCUUGAGCCUUCUAGGGGCGAGUGGAACAAAUGGUGGAGCGGUGAAAUGCGUAGAUAUCAUUUGGAACGCCAAUGGUGAAAACAACUCGCUGGGGAAGUGCUGACGCUGAGACACGAAAGCCAGGGGAGCGAACGGG